UCGGGAGAAGAGUGGAUCUUGACAAUCAAUGGCUUCGGAGGGUUGCUGGCCAAACACGAGGAUCCAACUACCUCUUGCUUGCUCUAGAGCCUACAUAGAAAACAGGACAUGUCCCCUGAGCAUCGUGCGAGGCACAGACAGCUGCUGGGCGUAGACUCCCUAGUUUUGUGGAGACGUCUCCAGUGUGUUCUGUAGUUACCUGCGUACCAGGAGUCUUGACCUUUAAAGCAUCCCUGGACUGGUGAAGUAAACCUGACCCUGAAUGGUCCUUCUCUCCUGACUGUGUGGAGGCACCUAGUGCUUUCUGGUCUGUGAUUUGAAACUAUCAGCUCAUACAUCUCCCUGGGCAGGCCCAAGAUGAGGGAUCGGGGGCUGAGGGACGCUGAACUAUUGGCAGGACAGGUUGCUGCACCCUUCCUUAAGUCCGGUUUUGUUUACUAGAAUGGUACACGUAGCUUCAGUGGUGGCUAUUAAUUUCACUUCACUGAAUCCUGGUGCAAGAAAGACCCAUUUCCGAUUUUUCUACAGCCAUUUAUUCUUCACUAGGUCCCCAUGGCCCUGCAGGGUCAUUCAAGCAGCCGCAGCUACGUGGGUGGAGGCCUGGCCCUUGCCCCCUCUGGCCACCAUCACCCCCUGCCUGCCCGGGGCCCACGGGGCCUGACGGUGGAGGCUGUUCUUCUGCGGUGCCAGAUUCACCAGUGAGGUCCUUCCUGCCUUUAUCUUAUGGUUAGAUGCCCAGAUAAAACACAGGAUAGCCGGUUACAUUUGAACUUCAGAUAAACACCAAAUAAUUUUUUUAGUGUAUGUCUCAAAUAUUACCUAAGACAAACACACUAAAAUAUUGUUCAUUGGUGGUUGUUUUUUGGUUGUGGGUUUUUUUUUUGUAGCUAAAUUUGGCAUGCCUGUGACUUAACCUAUAAACAAAUGUUUAUUGA